AAGGGGGAACGGGGGAGCAGAGGGGGAACAUGGCGUCCCACUGGGGCGUGUGGGAGAGAUAAAGGGAGGAGCAGACGGGGAACAUGGCGCCCCACUGAGGCGUGUGGGAGACAUAAAGGGAGGAGCAGACGGGGAACAUGGCGCCCCACUGAGGCGUGUGGGAGACAUAAAGGGGGGAGCAGACGGGGAACAUGGCGCCCCACUGAGGCGUGUGGGAGACAUAAAGGGGGGAGCAGAGGGGGAACAUGGCGUCCCACUGAGGCGUGUGGGAGAGAUAAAGGGGGGAGCGGGGGGAACAUGGCGUCCCACUGAGGUGUGUGGGAGAGAUAAAGGGGGGAGCGGGGGGGGACAUGGCGUCCCUUUGGGGGACACCUGGGACGUGUGGGACAGACAAAGGAGGAUGCAAUAAAAACAAACUAAUUUCUUGAAGGAAUCAUAAGUAUGAAUAUUCAUAAAAAACUUAAGACAAAAGCCAUGGUAAUUUCUUCCACAAGUUUUCAUUUGAAGGAGAUAAACUCAAAGACCUGUAAUACCUGACGCUGUAUACGUGCAACAGCUACAGGAUAUUUGACAUAAAUCCUGAACAACCAAAUAUAUUGCAGGAGGAGCAGCCGGAACGUUUCAAGAAAGAAUUUCCAGAGUGGAAAAGCCGUGUGUUCCACAGUCAGCCAUUUAAAUCCAUAUCUCCACGUAAAUGUCAUGUAGUUGCCUGGAAGAGAAAUCUAUAGAUAACUUGAAGAGUGUUCAAAUGCAGAAGGAUUAAUUGCUGACAAGCUGUACCAGUUAUCUGACAACAGGAAAUUAAGAGAGUGAUCGCAAGAUACGUAUAAAUAGAUCAGGCACUUUUAAAUCCCAUUCUCCGCGGCUGCCGCUGCCGGGGCGCCGCCC